rnacentral:rRNA from 1 species
UACGAAGGGGGCUAGCGUUGCUCGGAAUCACUGGGCGUAAAGCGCACGUAGGCGGAUUUCUAAGUCAGGGGUGAAAUCCUGGAGCUCAACUCCAGAACUGCCUUUGAUACUGGGGAUCUCGAGUCCGGAAGAGGUGAGUGGAACUGCGAGUGUAGAGGUGAAAUUCGUAGAUAUUCGCAAGAACACCAGUGGCGAAGGCGGCUCACUGGUCCGGUACUGACGCUGAGGUGCGAAAGCGUGGGGAGCAAACAGGG